GGUGGGUGCCUGUAAUCCCAGCUACUCGGGAAGCUGAGGCAGGAGAAUUGCUUGAACCUGGGAGUGAGAGGUUAGCUUUCUCUAGACUAUGCCUGUGCUAACAAAGGUCUGAAGGAAAGUGAAAGCUAGGUCUUGGUUUGGAAGCUUAGAACACUGAGCCAGCGGUAGGGUGUAACACAUCAGGAACUACUUCCAAGAGAAGCCUGCAUUUCUGCUCUCAUGCUGAUCUCAAAAACCCCACUCAACACUGCAACUUUAUCAUAGCAGUUUUCAUCCCAGAAUUUUUUUUUAAUAAUGACAAGACAUGUUGUUGAAAAAAAAUCACACCUUGGUUUCUUAGAGCUGCUCGUUCCUGAUUGCCGCUGCUGUCUCCAGGCAUCCCUCUAGCAGCACCUGGAUGUAGAUGACUGAAUGUUAAGAGGUUGCAAGUGACAAUCUGAAAAUUUGCACUCUUGUGUGUAGUUUUCUUUUCAUUUCUUUCAGAAAUAGUUUCCAAAAAGACCAUUACAUCUCCUGAUAUGAUUUGUAUAAUUUUCAGUUCUAGCUAAAAAUAAUGUAAGGAACUCUCAGCGGAUGCAGCUGCAACUUACAAUGAACUGUGCCCUCCUAUCCCCCAUACUUUACCCUUCUUUCUUAUUUUAUAGUGUGGGAUACACAUGAGUGAUGUUUUCUUUGUGCACUGAG
rnacentral:lncRNA from 1 species